GUCUACGGCCAUACCACCCUGAACGCGCCCGAUCUCGUCUGAUCUCGGAAGCUAAACAGGGUCGGGCCUGGUUAGUACUUGGAUGGGAGAAUAGAGGACUCAUUCACA
rnacentral:rRNA from 1 species